CUCCUAAUGGCAUUUGGAAGUUUCCACUGCGCCUGAAGGAAAACAGGCAAUUAGAGGCACUGUGA